GCCCCUUACGUCCUGGGCUACACACGUACUACAAUGGUCGGGACAGAGGGCAGCAAGCGAGCGAUCGCAAGCUAAUCCCAGAAACUCGGCCUCAGUUCAGAUCGCAGGCUGCAACUCGCCUGCGUGAAGGAGGAAUCGCUAGUAAUCGCCGGUCAGAAUACGGCGGUGAAUCCGUUCCCGGGCCUUGUACACACCGCCCGUCACACCAUGGAAGCUGGCCACGCCCGAAGUCGUUACCCUAACCCUCCGGGGAGGGGGACGCCGAAGGCAGGGUUGGUGACUGGGGUGAAGUCGUAACAAGGUAGCCGUACCGGAAGGUGUGGCUGGAUCACCUCCUUUUC
rnacentral:rRNA from 1 species